UGUGCGUGUGUGUGAUAGGGGUUUAGGACGCCUGUCCAUAAAAGAUUUCAAAAGAUAUAUGAUCUUGUGACUGAAUUUGGAAAAUUAAUUUAUAAAGAAUCAGAACUUCUCAUAUACAACAAUGUAUUUAUAAAAAUACGUAUAUCAGUUAUUUGUUAUAUAUUAAUAUUAAAAGAAAAAAUAUCUAUAUAUAUAAAGAAGGAUCAAUCAAAAAGAAAUCCUGUGAGAUUUAUGUCCCGCCUCGGCACCGAAAAAUUGCUUGGCAACCACGACGGUAUUUGUUGGCAGGGACAGGAGGUCCAUGAGGAAUCUUACAUCCCGGGGGAAGAUUGAAAAGACGGCAUUUGUCAAUAAUUAUAUAUUUAUGGAUUUUCUUAGCAUCUGAUUGCUCCACAAUCACAGCAGCACAAAUCACCAACAUUAAUAUAACAAACGCCUUCAUUUUCUCUUCUUCAGGGAAGAUGAUUGAUCCUUCUUAUUUUUUCUUAAUUUGGUAGGAGGUCCAUGAGGAAUCUGACAUCCCGGGGGAAGAUGAAAAAGACGGCAUUUGUCAAUAAUUAAAUACUUUUGUUUAGCAUCUGAUUGCUCCACAAUCACAGCAGCACAAAUCACCAACACUAAUAUCACACAUGCCUUCAUUUUCUGUUCUUCAGGGAAAUAUGAUUGAUCCUUCUUUUUUUAUUAUGAGUUAUUCUUGGGUUCACCCCCGAGCGUGAAUCUCUAGGUUCACCAACCAAUAUAAUUUUAUUAUUUCAAAUUUGAUAUCUUUUAGAAAAAAAAAAUUGUCAAGAUAUAUUAUAUUUUUAAAAUAAAAUAGUUAAAAAAAUUAGAAAAAAUAGUAGUUAGAGAAAAAUAAAUUAAAAAAAUAAUAAUAUUUUUA